UACGGAGGGGGCUAGCGUUGUUCGGAAUCACUGGGCGUAAAGCGUGCGCAGGCGGCUUUGCAAGUCAGACGUGAAAGUCCGGGGCUCAACCCCGGGAGGUCGUUUGAAACUGUGAGGCUUGAGUACGGGAGAGGGGUGUGGAAUUCCCAGUGUAGGAGUGAAAUCCGUAGAUAUUGGGAGGAACACCAGUGGCGAAGGCGACACCCUGGCCCGUAACUGACGCUCAUGCACGAAAGCGUGGGGAGCAAACAGG
rnacentral:misc_RNA from 1 species